GCUGUGUGUUGCGCUUUGGGGAGGUGACCAGCUGGUGGUUCCCUGUCCUCCAGAGGUCCUGUCCCCACAGCUGUGACCUGCACCGGGUGCUCCAGCAGGUCACACACGCACACACACAGCGCCUCCGCGACCACAGGAGGAGAGACGCGUGCGCAGCAGAACAGAGAGACACCCGGCCACACACUCUCACCCUGGGGCUCAGGAAGGGAGAGACGCAGGGAGAAGGAAAGAGGCCUCGGUAUCAAUGCAGUGGUGAGUAUCUUGAGGCACUGAACACGCGCGCGCGCGCGCACACACACCGGCCUUUUGUGAUCUGAGAUGGGGUGUGUGUCUUGAUGUAACCUGGGCCAGUCUGACCUGUUGAAGGGCUUCUCAACCAACAGAGGGCGCCAUACUCACCAUCUCAGGUUCUCAACAAAAUCUUUCUAUUCUCCGUAUUUUAAGAAAACUAAAAUCUAUUAUCUAAUUCUUUUUCUCCCUCUACAUCCUUCGCUCUUUGUCAGAUGUGAGUCUCACCCCUCUGAAGAAGUCUGGUCCGAAUGCAGGCAUCAGCCUGACUCCUCUGUGUGGUGGUGGUUUGUCACGUGUGACCAGCAGGGGGCAGGAGAGAGACAGUAGAACCCCUCACAGGGAAGAUGAUGUCACUGAUGAUCAGCAGAAGACCGUAUCCAUGGGAAACCCCUGUUCGACUGUAAGAGAGAGUGUCUGUGUUCUGUGUCCCGUUCUGGUUGUAACAGUCUGUGGAUGUUCAUCUAUGGUGGAUGGACUGUGUAGAAUGGCUGGUUUUCUAGUAACCUCUCGCUGUGACUGCAGAGGCAACUGUGUAUGAUCCUGGGACCACAUAUCCCCAGAAACAAUAUACAAAUCAGUCCCUGCAAGGGUUUUGGCAGGUCCCCAUAAGGCUAAUGGGAUUUAGGUUAGGUAGAUGUUGGCUUAGGCUUACGACUCAGGAAUAGGGGACAUGGAUUUUUGGGUUUCCUGUCCCCACCAGGAUAAAACCCAAGUGUGUGUGUGUGUGUGUGUGUGUGUGUGUGUGUGUGUGUGUGUGUGUGUGUGUGUGUGUGUGUGUGUGUGUGUGUGUGUGUGUGUGUGUGUGUGUGUGUGUGUGUGUGUGGUAGGGGACAGGCACCCAAGAGGUAUGUCGGUCAUGACCUUUCUCUUGCAGCAAACUGAGCUGAGCAAUUCCAAAACCAAGGAAAGUGAGAUGACCAAUGAUGAGGUUUGUGCGUUUUCUCUAAUUUUCUGUCUAUCAUUUGUUUCUUUCUCGUUGUUCUUGGCCUUGUUUACAUUCUUUCUAAUCCUUACCACCCUGCAUCUACAGAGGAGAGAGAGGAGGAACUUCAGCUCUGAUGAGGAGAGUUAUCUGUGUCAUGGUGUACAGAGGUUUGGUCCAUCUUGGAAUGCUAUCCUAUGGGCAUAUCCCUUCAAGCCUGGACGCACCAAUGUAGAUCUGGCCAAGAAAUACAAACGCAUGCAGUUUAAAGCCUAGGGAAUGGAUUCAGUUUCUCCAUCAGAUCCUAGAAGAACAACCUGGUUCUCGCACAUGCAUUUAAUGUUCCGUAGUGUUUGGAAUAGGACGAUGAAGUAAUUAAUGUAAUCAUUUACACUUGAUGUUUUCGAUUUGUUCACUGUUAUUGUAUGUAUCGAGACUGAGAUUGUUAGUCACUCUUCAACUUGUUUCAUUUGAAUAAAACAGAAGGUUUUCUGUAUGCUGCAGUGUGUCAGUGUCAGUGCAAUACUCAAACACCCUCACAACUCCAGUAUGGUUUCAGCCAACAGCGGGUUAAAGCCCACAGACACUGAGGACUGGAUAGGUAUUGAUUUGAAUACAAGGUUUGGAUUGUUGUGUAUCAUUAUCGACUUGGGUAGCAGCAGUUGGACCAGUAAAAUCUGAGAGUCUGGAUAGGGCCUGUUUCUCUGCCCAACUUUGCUAACACUUGCCAGAUUUUUACAGCGGCCAGUAAUCUAGUUCCUGACAAUACUGUUCAUGAUGUAUUGCAACACGUCUUACACAAUUCACUCAAAACUAGGAAGUGUUUCAAAUCCAGUUACAAGCACAUCUGAGAAGAC
rnacentral:lncRNA from 1 species